GAUGAAGAACGUAGCGAAAUGCGAUAAGUAGUGUGAAUUGCAGAAUUCAGUGGAUCAUCGAAUCUUUGAACGCACAUUGCGCCCUUUGGUAUUCCAAAGGGCAUGCCUGUUCGAGCGUCAUUUGUACCCUCAAGCUUUGCUUGGUGUUGGGCGUCUUGUCUCUAGCUUUGCUGGAGACUCGCCUUAAAGUAAUUGGCAGCCGGCCUACUGGUUUCGGAGCGCAGCACAAGUCGCACUCUCUAUCAGCAAAGGUCUAGCAUCCAUUAAGCCUUUUUUUCAACUUUUGACCUCGGAUCAGGUAGGGAUACCCGCUGAACUUAAGCAUAUCAAUAAGCGGAGGA
rnacentral:misc_RNA from 1 species